rnacentral:sRNA from 1 species
GCCCAAUUUCGCACGUGCCUGUGGUCGUGUGUCAGUCGGUAGGUAUCCGGACAAGAGGCCGGACAGCCGCCAAGGGAUGAAGAACCGAGGGUCGCUUCAUAAGCGGCCAGCAUCUCUCUCAAGAGAUGCCGUUGAAGGUCUCUGCAUCCUUUGCAACCGUGACUGGCAGCCGGAGGCGAACCGGCGCACCCCGCUCUCAACGGGGGACGCGACUUAAAGCAACGACGGAUCGGGCUUUU